rnacentral:lncRNA from 1 species
GCCAUCCUAGGUUCUAUUGAAGCUAAUUCAUUUGUUCUUUUGAUUGCUCAUCUUUGGACCAUAAUUCUUGGUUCCAUCUUCUUUUCAUUCUUAGUUCCUUUAGUUACCCAUGAUUGGGUUACCAUCCUAGUUUUAAUCUAAGUUUAUUGGUUUGUUCCUCUGAUUUCUGAUCACUAGGACGUCAUCCUAGGUUCUAUCUAUAUCCAAUUUGAGUUAACUUUGUGUCCGAUCGUCUGCAUACCAUCCUAGGUUCGACCCAAGCUUAGUUGGUUGCUUAUUAUUGUUCUCAUCAUCAUGAUGUCAUCCUAGGUUCGGCCUAUGUUCAUUGUUCGUUCCUUUGGUUUCCCAUCAUUGUGAACUAUUUAAGCUUAUUCGUAUGUUCCUGUUUCUAAUAAUCGGGACUCUAUCCUAUGAGUUCUUUUAAGGAUAUGCCCAAUUCCUUGAGUUUAAUUUCGGGCAUCCCCUUCCUUAUGUUUGUUUAGGGUAUUCCCCUUCAUUGAGUUUAUUUCGGGCAUCCUCUUUCCUCGAGUGUUAUUAGGGUAUUCCCAUUCGUAUAUUUUUUUUAGGACAUUCCUAUUCAUUGGGCUAUCAAACUACGUUGAUUUAGUUUAGUCCAUCACCCUUCCUUUAGUUUCUUAAGCCAUCCAUCUUCAUGGAGAUUUUUAAUUCAUUCCCUUUCCUAGAGUUUGUUUAGACCACCCAACUUCCUUCAAUUCUUUUAGAGCAUACCCAUGCAGUAGUUUCUUCAGCGCAACUCCAUUUCUUGAGGGUUUUUAGCACAACCGUUUUUCUUGGGAUUGGGCAUCCCCCUUACUAGAGUUUGUUUGGGGCAUGCCCUUUCUGAGUCUUAUUAGUGAAUCCCCCUUCUUAAUGUUCAUUUACGACGUUCUUCUUCCAUUGGCUCUUUUAAGGGCAUCCCGCUAGGUCGAAUUUGCUUUGAGCAUCCUUCAUUUACUUUGUGAAGAGAAUUCCCUUCAUUAAGUUUAUUAAGGGCAUCGUUUAGGCCAUCCCACAUCCUUAAGUUUUUUUAGGGUAUCCCUCGUCCUUCACCCCAUAAUCAAGAUGUCAUCCUAGGUUCUGUCUAAACAUAAUCAUUUGUUCCCGAGAUUGCUCAUCAUUGGAACACCGUUCAUAGUUUUAUUCAUUUUCAUUCUUAGUUUAUUUAGUUUCACAUCAUUGAGUUGCCAUCCUAGGUUCUAUUGAAGCUAAUUCAUUUGUUCUUUUGAUUGCUCAUCUUUGGACCAUAAUUCUUGGUUCCAUCUUCUUUUCAUUCUUAGUUCCUUUAGUUACCUGUGAUUGGGUUACCAUCCUAGUUUUAAUCUAAGUUUAUUGGUUUGUUCCUCUGAUUUCUGAUCACUAGGACGUCAUCCUAGGUUCUAUCUAUAUCCAAUUUGAGUUAACUUUGUGUCCGAUCGUCUACAUACCAUCCUAGGUUCUACCCAAGCUUAGUUGGUUGUUGGUUAUUGUUCUCAUCAUUGUGAUGUCAUCCUAGGUUCGGC